GAUGAACGCUGGCGGCGUGCCUAAUACAUGCAAGUCGAACGAGGUGCUUUUGUAGCAAUACGAGGUUAUCCUAGUGGCGAACGGGUGAGUAACGCGUUUGUGACCUGCCCCGAAGUGUGGGAUAACAGUCCGAAAGGAUUGCUAAUACCGCAUGUGGCCAUCGGGUUUAGAAACCGAGGUCUCAAGCAGCACUGCGCUUUGGGAGGGACCUGCGUCCCAUCAGCGAGUUGGUGAGGUAACGGCUCACAAAGGCGACGACGGGUAGGGGGCCUGAGAGGGUGGCCCCCCAGAAUGGAACUGAAACACGGUCCAUACACCUACGGGUGGCAGCAGUAGGGAAUAUUGCACAAUGGGCGAAAGCCUGAUGCAGCAACGCCGCGUGAGCGAAGAAGGCCUUCGGGUCGUAAAGCUCUUUUCUGGGAGAUGAGAAAGGACAGUAUCCCAGGAAUAAGUCUCGGCUAACUACGUGCCAGCAGCCGCAGUAAUAC
rnacentral:rRNA from 1 species